AUUCACGAUCUUGUAUCCACUGACUGUCUCGUUAGAUUAAUCCAACAAAUUUCAUUCACUUCUCAUACUCAAUCCUAUAGACACCCUUUUAAUUCUUCAAUCACAGACGUAACUUCGAAUUCACAAAACAGUCAAGAGUAAUCACACCCACUUCAUUAAAAUCCCGAUUCACCAAUACAACACUGACUUCAGCAACGAUUGCCUCAGUCUUUCCAAAACCCUAUGAAGAAAAAAAAUCCAAUUCUU
rnacentral:lncRNA from 1 species